rnacentral:tRNA from 1 species
GCCGGUGUAGCUCAGUUGGUAGAGCAAUUCAUUCGUAAUGAAGAGGUCGGGGGUUCAACUCCUCUCUCCGGCA